rnacentral:rRNA from 1 species
UACGUAGGGGGCUAGCGUUGUCCGGAUUUAUUGGGCGUAAAGAGCGUGUAGGCGGCCAGGUAGGUCUGCUGUGAAAACUCGAGGCUUAACCUCGAGAUGUCGGCGGAAACCAUCUGGCUAGAGUCCGGAAGAGAAGAGUGGAAUUCCACGUGUAGCGGUGAAAUGCGUAGAGAUGUGGAGGAACACCAGUGGCGAAGGCGACUCUUUGGCCUGUAACUGACGCUGAGGCGCGAAAGCGUGGGGAGCAAACAGG